rnacentral:rRNA from 1 species
GACGAACGCUGGCGGCGUGCUUAACACAUGCAAGUCGAACGAUGAAGGAGAGCUUGCUCUCCGGAUUAGUGGCGAACGGGUGAGUAACACGUGACUAACCUGCCCCUUUCUCUGGGAUAACGCUCCGAAAGGAGUGCUAAUACCGGAUACGAACUCUGAACACAUGUUCGGAGUUGGAAAGUUAUUCGGAAAGAGAUGGAGUCGCGGCCUAUCAGCUUGUUGGUGAGGUAAUGGCUCACCAAGGCGACGACGGGUAGCGGGGCUGAGAGGGCGACCGGCCACACUGGGACUGAGACACGGCCCAGACUCCUACGGGAAGCAAGAGUGGGGAAGAUUGCACAAUGGGCGAAAGCCUGAUGCAGCGACGCCGCGUGAGGGAUGAAGGUCUUCGGAUUGUAAACCUCUUUCAGUAGGGACGAAGCGAAAGUGACGGUACCUAAAGAAGAAGCACCGGCUAACUACGUGCCAGCAGCCGCCGUAA